rnacentral:rRNA from 1 species
GAUCCUGGCUCAGGAUGAACGCUAGCUACAGGCUUAACACAUGCAAGUCGAGGGGCAGCAUGGUCUUAGCUUGCUAAGGCUGAUGGCGACCGGCGCACGGGUGAGUAACACGUAUCCAACCUGUCGUCUACUCUUGGCCAGCCUUCUGAAAGGAAGAUUAAUCCAGGAUGGGAUCAUGAGUUUCACAAUGUCCGCAUGAUUAAAGGUAUUUUCCGGUAGACGAUGGGG